UGGGGAAUUUUGGACAAUGGGCGAAAGCCUGAUCCAGCAAUGCCGCGUGUGUGAAGAAGGCCUUCGGGUUGUAAAGCACUUUUGUCCGGAAAGAAAUCCUUGGCUCUAAUACAGUCGGGGGAUGACGGUACCGGAAGAAUAAGCACCGGCUAACUACGUGCCAGCAGCCGCGGUAAUACGUAGGGUGCAAGCGUUAAUCGGAAUUACUGGGCGUAAAGCGUGCGCAGGCGGUUUGCUAAGACCGAUGUGAAAUCCCCGGGCUCAACCUGGGAACUGCAUUGGUGACUGGCAGGCUAGAGUAUGGCAGAGGGGGAUAGAAUUCCACGUGUAGCAGUGAAAUGCGUAGAGAUGUGGAGGAAUACCGAUGGCGAAGGCAGCCCCCUGGGCCAAUACUGACGCUCAUGCACGAAAGCGUGGGGAGCAAACAGGAUUAGAUACCCUGGUAGUCCACGCCCUAAACGAUGUCAACUAGUUGUUGGGGAUUCAUUUCCUUAGUAACGUAGCUAACGCGUGAAGUUGACCGCCUGGGGAGUACGGUCGCAAGAUUAAAACUCAAAGGAAUUGACGGGGUCAUAGCUGUUUCC
rnacentral:rRNA from 1 species